rnacentral:lncRNA from 1 species
AGACUGUACUAGGCGACAGCCAAGCUACAAGAAGAAAGGUACUAGAAAGUGUUCUUAAAAAUGUAAAUUCAGAAUUCUACUUAACAGCGAUUUUUAAUUAUCAAAAUUUCAAUGAAUUUUUUAAUAUCUAAAACUCAUCCUAUUAUUUUCUUCCAGCACUGGAAUCAGCAAACAUAACAUACAUUUUUUAACUUUAAAUAGUACAUAACAAAGGAGAUUCAAGCAACUCAACAAAAUUUUAAAAAGAAAAAUUAGACUACAUGGUGAGCUUCAAACAUAAACAGUUGGAAUAAAUAUAAGGACAAAAGAAAAACAAUAAACGUGCAUAUGUUAAAUAAGAUUCUAAGUAGAAAUACCUGUAUUUUUACAUAAAGCAUAUAAAUGAUGAAUAAUCAAAAUACUCAUGCAUAUCCACUCAAAUUAUACAUAUCUAAAACUAUCACAAAAAAAGUAAAAAUAGUGAAAUCAUAGAAGGGCACUAGAUAAAUAUCACUCAAAAGCAAAAAACAAUAAUGUAAAAACUUCAGUGAAUUUUAAAAAAUACACGACUCCACAAACUUGGAGUAGAAAUCUUGCCAUAACUGGUCCUAAGUUUUAGACCUGAGUCAGACGACAAUAACUUCUAUCUUCAGAUACCGGUUUGAGUGAUUAUGUUCAAACUAGGGCGAAAUGCAGAACUGAAGAAAAGCAUCUCUUAUUAACAUGAUGAGAAAUAGUAUAAAAAAUAACUGAAACUAAGACACAUAGGGGCGAAAGCAACUUGGACCACUUAGCAACUCACUUAUACGUCUCUCUAAAAAAGCAA